rnacentral:rRNA from 1 species
UACGGGGGGGGGCAAGCGUUGUUCGGAAUUACUGGGCGUAAAGGGCUCGUAGGUGGCCAACUAAGUCAGACGUGAAAUCCCCAGGCUUAACCUGGGAACUGCGUCUGAUACUGGAUGGCUUGAAUUCGGGAGAGGGAUGCAGAAUUCCAGGUGUAGCGGUGAAAUGCGUAGAUAUCUGGAGGAAUACCGGUGGCGAAGGCGGCAUCCUGGACCGAGAUUGACGCUGAUGCGCGAAAGCCAGGGGAGCAAACGGG